rnacentral:lncRNA from 1 species
AACGUUUUAAAGGACUUUUGAUCGCAAGGAGGAACUAAGCUUGAUCCCUUGAGCUAAUUUUAUGGAGCUUUCUUAGAAAUGGAGUUUGAGAGGUGAUUAGGAUUGUUGUGCAGUGAUAUUAUAUUGUGAAAUUGGUGGAUGAAGCAAUGAUUUAAUACAGAAAAGUAAAGAGGCAGACAACUUAAAGAGAAAGUGAGAAACUGAU